UACAGAGGGCUCAAGCGUUGUUCGGAUUCAUUGGGCGUAAAGGGUGUGUAGGCGGCGCCGUAAGUCGGGUGUGAAAUUUCGGAGCUUAACUCCGAAACUGCAUUCGAUACUGCGGUGCUUGAGGACUGGAGAGGAGACUGGAAUUCAUGGUGUAGCAGUGAAAUGCGUAGAGAUCAUGAGGAAGACCAGUGGCGAAGGCGGGUCUCUGGACAGUACCUGACACUGAGACACGAAGGCCAGGGGAGCAAACGGG
rnacentral:rRNA from 1 species